GAAAUUGCUAUUGUUGUCAGAACUGUGUAGGCAAAAACUCCUGCUAGUAAUUUUUUUUUUCCUCUUAUUCUCUGAGUCUGCAGAAAAAAGCUAUAGAACUAUUUGUGUAACUCAGGUCCUCCGGGACAGAUUUAUUUGUCCUACUUCCUCCUACCUCUGGAAUGGAAUAUCUACAGUCGUGCUUUGUCCUUGUGAUGGGAAGGAAAUAUCUUCCCCUUGAUGCCGGGAUGGACUGUAGAAUUUACUUUGGCCAGUGGGACACUGGUCGAUGAGAUACAUCCGGAGGUUUGAAAUGUGCCAGUGUGUCCGGGUUUGUUCUCUUGCGCUGCUGCCAUGACCAUGAGAAGAACUUGCAUUUGAUGCUUGCUGACCCCAGGAGCGUAACUCCCAUGGAGGGCAUACCUGACCUGCCACUUGGAGCCAUGCCCAGCCAGAUUUAGACAAGAGGAGCCAAACUCCAGACGAACCAGAUGCCUGAAAAGACUCUUUGUUUUUGCCAUUCUGUGCACGAGCUAAGCAGAAUACAGUAAAGAGAAAUGGGGCAGGCCCAGGUAUCCAGGAGAUGGGAGAGAAUUUGCAUUCCGACUGUGGAACUCAUCAAAAGGCUAUUCUUCCUGCCUCCACUGGAAGGUACAAUUCAGGUUGGGGGCUAUUGAAAACAAGACUCUACCUCUUUCUUCAAAUUCUAACUGGCGGGGGUGGGGGCUCUGAAGGUGACCUUGUGCCCCCAGAUGUCCCCGGUGGACUUGACAGUUGAAAGCUGUUGAUGCUCCUUCCAAAUCUGAGGCUGCUGGUGUUUUCAAAAAGGAAGAAAUGCCCUAAGAUGGUUCACCCAAAAUAAGCUGGCUACAGCGGAUGGUGACUUUUGGCAAAAUCACGCAUUUAACAUACCCAACACACACACACACACGGAGAAUUGUGUGUGUAGCUCCAGUUGAGGAAAAUGUCCAAAGUUUGGAUUUGAGGAACAGGAUGGAAAUAAGGUGCCACCAGAGGCCACCCGUGCCCUCCAACCCGACCCCAACCCCCAUCGGGAUGGUUUGGUCCAAGAUACUUCACAGAGAGAACGACCCCCGCCAACCACACACAACCCCCCCACUUCCAUGAAAGACGUCUCAUCCAUCAUUUGCCCACCUCCCCAAGAAGCAUUAUGCAUCGUUUAAUUCCAACUCUUUUUCGUGUUUCCUUUUAAAAACCAUAGACUUCCAAGAGAGACUUCCCCCGAAAGCAAAGCAUUCUCCAUGGGUUUGGAAUAAACCUGCAAAAUCCUCUCAACUCCCCUUUACCACACACACACACUGAAACCCAGCUCCAGCGCUGUGUCUGCAUCAUCCCACUUCUGCCUCUUCCACACAGACUUAUUUCAUAAAAACGUCAGCUAUUAAGUUAACAUUAUUUAAGGGGCUGUGGGUGUUUAGUUCCUGAAUGCAACCUAAGCUGGAUGGGGAGAGGGGAGAGGCCUGACGUGAAGGCCUGGCUGUAUAAAACAUGAUCCACAGAGAAGCUACAUAAAUAACCCGACCGUGGGCUCCCAGCGCCUCUCUAUUUAUCACUGAAGUAACGAUAAGGAUCUGCUUUAGAGUGAACCCUGCUGAGGGUCCAGCCCCGGCACAAGCUGUAAUAUGAUCUGCAGGGGAGGGCUGAUAACCCGACACAAUGUGAAGAAACCCGGGCAGAGGAAUAAGACAAACUGUUCGUCCAUUAAACGGCGCUGUCAGGAAGGGGGCCGCGAAGCCAAACAGAGCUCCAUCCAAUUCUUGCGUGGAGACACAAAGCCAGGAACACCUGAACCGAGCUGGGGAAAUAACCUCCCUCAGAAACAAGCGGAGGUGGGGUCAGGGGAAGGGGGAAGCGGUCUCUCAGGCACAGCCUGCACCCCCCCUGGGGUGGGGUCUCUCCAUCAGUGAAAUGGGAUCCAUCCGCUUGGUGGCCCCUCCCUCCUGGGUGGUUGGGGUGAUCCCAUGGUCGAGGGACCUCCAGAGGGUCCUGAGGAAGAAGGAGACGACUCCACGAAGGCCAGGAAUGCAGAGGCCACGCUGGUUAUAGAAGUGCUGGAACCACCCAAGGAAGAUGAAGGGCUCGUUCAGCUCCAGGAGCUGUAGUGACGCAGCGCCUUCAACGUGGCGGCACAGAAGCCCAGGCCGCUGCCACCAAGUCUGAAUCUUUCUUUCAAAAGAAGCUCCAGAUACGAUCUUUGCUGGGAAAUUUCAAGGAUUCGGUGUUUGCUGUUACUGAGAAUUUUUUUUUUUUUUCUCCCUGUAUUCUGUGUGCUUUUCUUUUAAAAAUUCCUUGUAUUGAGUUGAAAAACUGUGGAUUAGAUGUGGCCCAUCAUUUGUGCCCUCUGGACUAAAGCAAAGCAAAGGGGGAUCUUUCUGGAUCACCACCAUGGCUCCUGCACUUCAGGUUAGACAGCACGCGGGGACAGGAAGGCACAGAAACAGCAGGGCCCCUUCUCACAUCCGCGGGUCGAUCUCACAUUUGUGCCGGCUCCUUUGACUUUAGGGUGUCCUUUUUCUGGAUCUACACCGCAUCUCGUGGAGUGUGACACAGAAUCUUCAGACAACAAAGAUUCUCUCCCACUGAGAGCGUUACGUCUGAACUGUCCCCUGAGCUUUUCAUUCCUAGAGAACCUUGGCCCUGCCCCUGGCCAGCAUUUUUCCUUGGAAAUAUUGAUGCAUUUUGCACAAACAUUGAUGGCAUUUUGCACAUGCACUGCAAGUCUGUAGCUCACCACCACCACCC